GAUGAACGCUAGCGGCAGGCUUAAUACAUGCAAGUCGAACGGUAAGAGAUGUAGCAAUACAUUUCCUAGAGUGACGUACGGGUGCGUAACACGUAUGCAACCUACCUGUAACAGGAGUAUAGCUCGGGGAAACUCGAAUUAACCCUCCAUAAGAUCGUGAAGUGGCAUCACUUAGCGCUUAAAACUGAGGUGGUUACAGAUGGGCAUGCGUCUGAUUAGUUAGUUGGCGGGGUAAUGGCCCACCAAGACGAUGAUCAGUAGGGGAACUGAGAGGUUGAUCCCCA
rnacentral:rRNA from 1 species